rnacentral:tRNA from 1 species
GAAAUAUUAUGCAAGAUGAAAGCUGCUAACUUUAACAUCUUAAUGGUUAAAUUCCAUUUAUAUUUCU